AUGACUAGGGACCCAGCAAAUGUUAUUGUAGACAUGGAUAUAGCUUUUGUAUAUCUCAUACUCAUUUCCUUCAUCCUAACAGCCACUCACACAGACCAGCCAUCAUGUCCGCUGCCGGAGCUCCCGAGUACGACCCUGAUGCAGAAUUUGUGUAUGACUACCAGACUCUUCGUAUUGGGAGGUCUGACCUUCGUUGCAGUCCAUGAUCCGUCGGUUCUCCUGCUGGCCAGCAACAAAAUCCGCAGGUGUGGAAAGCCCAGGGAAAGAAAGGUCGAAGAGAAACCCCUAGCGUAGGACGGCUGGGCGCUUGUAUGUUGUUGACUGUAAUGUGUGAGACUGCAUUCCUUUUUGUAUUGAUAAACUGUGGACCCACUGUCGCUGUCCUGUGUUUUACUACAAAGUAUGUUUGAAAAUCAACCUGUGUAAAUGUGUUAGGGUGUUCUACCGGGACGGCCAGGUAGCCUAUCCGUGAAGAGCGUUUGAAAAAUCUGUCCACGCGCCAUUGAGCAAGGCACUUAACCCCUGUAAGUCGCUCUGGAUAAGAGCAUCUGCUAAAAUGCAAAGUAGUCACUGGGAUUGUAACUCUAUGGUGUUAGGCAUAUACUGACUGGCCAACUAGUUCUAUAGCCUCCGUGUUAGCAGAAGCCUACAAUGAACCACAGCCAAGUGGUCUCGAUAUUAAAUGGCUCAGAAAGUUAAGUGCCCAGUAACCAUAAAAUGUGAUGGUUCAAACCCUGCUGUCGCCUCUCAAUUGUUUCGGUAAUGAAUGAAGUUGGAGACGGUCCCAUCCCUACAUGUAACAUAUGUGGCCACGAGAUGGCAGCAAAACAUUAUUUGGCCAUGGCCAUAGACUUGUCUUGCGCUAUUUAUCACACCUGAAAAACUAACGAGGGGGGUUUCAUUAGCAGGAUUCCGUUGCAAAACGUUUCAUCUGUUUAAUCCGAAAGCUGUUGAGUUCCGAAAUU
rnacentral:lncRNA from 1 species